AGAAAAUAUACCAAAGGCAUCUGCACUAACCUGGACAUUGCUGAAUAGACCCUCCCCAGGCACGUCUGGCCGGUUGGGGUUCUCACCAUGGUGCCAGGCUGCUAGGGUCCCAUCCCUGGGGAUGUGGUCCCUCAUGAUGGAAGCAGAUUGCAAGUGUCAGACACCCACAGCUUGAGCUCUCAGGGUGGAAGCCAGAGAGGGUGGCAGAAGAAAGCCUAAGGGGUCUGCUACAGGCCGAGGGCUGAGGGGUGAGUUCCUGCACCAGGCUGUAGGCCUUCCCCGUCACCCAAGACCCACUGUGGCUGACGGACACGAGGCCCAGGACUCAAUGAAGACUUCUGAACAAUGCCCUCAGUUGGGGUCCAAGCAGUGAAGCCCUACAGCCAGACAGGGAGGCUAGAUGGAAGCUGAGUCCAACGAGGGAGCAGCCCCUGCGGCCACAGAAAAGCAAGGUUCCUGGUUCCAAACUGACUACCUGACUUCCCAUCCAGUCCCUUGCUAGUGCAGCUGGGAAGCACCUAACCUUGGAGAACGAGAUGGGAGCUCCUG